GGGGUUGUGGCUCAGUGGCAGAGCGCUUGCCUAGCAUGCAUAAGGCACUGGGUUCGAUCCCCAGCACCACA
rnacentral:tRNA from 1 species